AUGCUUCCCGUCGUUUUCGCCGCCGGGCCACCCACCGCAUGGCGCCAUGGGUCCGUGGUCGGAGCGCGAAUAAAGAAACCGAACCGCCUCAGCGCAUGGUAUUGCCUGGCCCUGUGUGCUCGUCCCGCCCGCGCCGAGCCUGUUUUCUCCUCGCCGGUCCGUGUUCGUCCCGGCGUAGCCAUAUAUACCCAGACCUCAGUUUGGUUCAGCACAGCAAGCACUCAACCUCCCACUCCCGGCGCACCAACCCACUGCCAAGCUAGCUACGCGCACGAGCUCUCCAUGGCCGCAUCGGUAGCCUGCGCCUUCUUCUUCGACGCCGAGCCGGUCGGCGAGCCCGGCGUGCACGCCCUGGACGCGUGCGCGCUCUGCACCAAGCCGCUGGCAAGGGACAGCGACAUCUUCAUGUACAGAGGGGACACGCCCUUCUGCAGCGACGAGUGCCGGCACGAGCAGAUGCAGCUGGACGCCGCCUGCGCCAGGCAGGCGGCCAGGGCGGCCGCCCGGAGGCAGAAGCAGUUCUCUUCAGCAACGGAGUCCGGGCGUGCACGCCGGGAGUCCUGGGAGGUGUCCGUCGCGAGCUAA
rnacentral:rRNA from 1 species